rnacentral:rRNA from 1 species
AACGCGAAGAACCUUACCUGGGCUCGAAAUGUAGUGGAAUCGGGUGGAAACAUCCGCGUCUCGCAAGAGACUGCUAUAUAGGUGCUGCAUGGCUGUCGUCAGCUCGUGUCGUGAGAUGUUGGGUUAAGUCCCGCAACGAGCGCAACCCUUAUUACCAGUUGCUACCAUUUAGUUGAGCACUCUGGUGAGACCGCCUCGGAUAACGGGGAGGAAGGCGGGGAUGACGUCAAGUCCUCAUGGCCUUUAUGUCCAGGGCUACACACGUGCUACAAUGGUCGGUACAAACCGUCGCAAACCCGCGAGGGGGAGCUAAUCGGAAAAAGCCGACCUCAGUUCGGAUUAGAGUCUGCAACUCGACUCUAUGAAGCUGGAAUCGCUAGUAAUCGCGGAUCAGAAUGCCGCGGUGAAUACGUUCCCGGGCCUUGUACACACCGCGCAUA